UACAGAGGGUGCGAGCGUUAAUCGGAAUUACUGGGCGUAAAGCGCACGUAGAUGGCUUUGUAAGUCAGAUGUGAAAUCCCCGGGCUCAACCUGGGAACUGCAUUUGAAACUGCAUUGCUCGAAUGUGGAAGAGGGAAGCGGAAUUCCAGGUGUAGCGGUGAAAUGCGUAGAGAUGUGGAGGAAUACCGAUGGCGAAGGCAGCCCCCUGGGCCAAUACUGACGCUCAUGCACGAAAGCGUGGGGAGCAAACAGG
rnacentral:rRNA from 1 species